rnacentral:rRNA from 1 species
AAUUAUCUACGCCAUUGUGAACAAUGUAAUAGGUCGGGUUCUAAUCGUCUCGUAAAGAGACAAUCUCUGACAUUUUGACCUCAAAUCAGGUAGGACUUCCCGCUGAACUUAAGCAUAUCAAUAAGCAGAGGAUAAGAAACUAUCAAGGAUUCCCCUAGUUACAGUGUGUGAAGGUAGUAAAUCU